UGAGGAAUAUUGGUCAAUGGGCGGGAGCCUGAACCAGCCAUCCCGCGUGCAGGAAGACGGCCCUAUGGGUUGUAAACUGCUUUUGUGCAGGAAGAACGCUCUUUACGUGUAGAGAGGUGACGGUACUGCAUGAAUAAGCACCGGCUAACUCCGUGCCAGCAGCCGCGGUAAUACGUAGGGUCCGAGCGUUAUCCGGAAUUACUGGGCGUAAAGAGUUCGUAGGCGGAUUUUUAAGUCAGAUGUUAAAUAUACAGGCUCAACUUGUAUGCUGCAUCUGAUACUGGGAGUCUUGAGAGUGGAAGAGGUAAGCGGAAUUUCCGGUGGAGCGGUUAAAUGCGUAGAUAUCGGAAAGAACACCAAUGGCGAAGGCAGCUUACUGGGCCAUUUCUGACGCUGAGGAACGAAAGCGUGGGGAGCGAUCGGG
rnacentral:rRNA from 1 species